CCUACGGGGGGCAGCAGUAGGGAAUAUUGCUCAAUGGGGGAAACCCUGAAGCAGCAACGCCGCGUGGAGGAUGAAGGUUUUCGGAUUGUAAACCCCUUUUGUUAGAGAAGAUAAUGACGGUAUCUAACGAAUAAGCACCGGCUAACUCCGUGCCAGCAGCCGCGGUAAUACGGAGGGUGCAAGCGUUACUCGGAAUCACUGGGCGUAAAGAGCGCGUAGGCGGGAUAGCAAGUCAGAUGUGAAAUCCUAUGGCUUAACCAUAGAACUGCAUUUGAAACUGGUAUUCUAGAGUAUGGGAGAGGUAGGUGGAAUUCGUGGUGUAGCGGUAAAAUGCGUAGAGAUCAAGAGGAAUACUCAUUGCGAAGGCGGCCUGCUAGAACAUAACUGACGCUGAUGCGCGAAAGCGUGGGGAGCAAACAGGAUUAGAUACCCGUGUAGUC
rnacentral:rRNA from 1 species